UCAUGAGUUAUUCAAGAUUCAAGAAACUAAAUUUCUAUCCAAGUUCUAAUGUCUACAAUUUGGAAUUGUGAAAAGUUUGAGUUUAAAUACAACAAGUUGAUUUGCAAAGAAGAAUUCAAGAGACUUCAUUUUACAUCAUCAUUUCUCAUGUUACAAAAAGUUCUCAAGAUUCUAAAUCUAUUUCUAAACCUUCCAUGCCAUGAAUUUCUUCAUGUUCCAAAGCCUCCUUGAAUUUAUCCUUACAUUUUUCAAACUCCAUAACCAUGGUUCUUACCAUCUUGUACAUGUUUUCAACACAACUCAACAUUGUUCAUACCAUAAAAAAGAAGAAGAAAGUGUUGAUAUUAGUAC
rnacentral:lncRNA from 1 species